GAAGCCAAUACGCCUUCCAGAUAUAACCUCUCAGCGGACCCGCCCGGACUCAGAUGGUCCCAGGACACCAAGGAUGCGGGUCCUGAGGCCCCCCACCCUCCUCCUGCUGCUCUCGGGGGCGCUGGUCCUGACCCCCAGCUGGGCCGGCCCCCACUCCCUGAGGUAUUUCGACACCAUCGUGUCCCGGCCCGGCCGCGGGGAGCCCCGAUACCUCGAAGUCGGCUACGUGGACGACACGCAGUUCGUGCGGUUCGACAGCGACACUGCAAAUCCGAAAGCGGAGCCGCGGGCGCCGUGGAUGCAGCAGCCGUGGGUGGAGCAGGAGAUGCCCGGGUAUUGGGAGGAGGAGACACAGAUCAACAAGGCAGCCGCCCAGGCUUUCGGAGUGAGACUGAAGAUCCUGCGCGGCUACUACAACCAGAGCGAGGACGGGUCUCACACUCUCCAGAAGAUGUAUGGCUGCGACGUGAGACCAGAUGGGCGCUUCCUCCGCGGGUACGAGCAGUGGGCCUACGAUGGCAGCGACUACAUCGCCCUGAACGAGGACCUGACCUGCUGGAUCGCGACUGACAUGGCGGCUCAGAUCACCAAGCGCAAGUGGGAGGCGGCAGGUUGGGCAGAGCUUGAGAAGAGCUACCUGGAGGGGGAGUGUGUGGAGUCUCUGCUCAUGUACCUGGAAAAAGGGAAGGAGACCCUACAGCGCGCAGACCCUCCAAAGGCACACGUGACCCACCACCCGGUCUCUGCGCGUGAGGUCACCCUGAGGUGCUGGGCGCUGGGCUUCUACCCUGCAGACAUCAGCCUGACCUGGCAGCGUGACGGGGAGGACCAGAUCCAGGACAUGGAGAUGGUGGAGACCAGGCCUGCGGGGGACGGCACCUUCCAGAAGUGGGCAGCCGUGGGGGUGCCCCCUGGAGAGGAGCAGAGAUACACGUGCCAUGUGCAGCACGAGGGGCUGCCUGAGCCCCUGACCCUGAGAUGGGAGCCGCCUUCUAACACCUUCAUCAUCAUCAUCAUGGGCAUUGCUGGGGGCCUGGUUCUGCUGGGAGCUGUGGCUGGAGCUGUGAUGUGGGGGAGGAGGCGCUAAGGUGGGAAAGGAGGGAGCUACGCUCAGGCUGCCGGCAGUGACAGCGGCCAGGGCUCUGAUGUGUCUCUCUCGGCUUCUAAAGUGUGAGGCUGCUGCCGUGUGGGGACUGAGUGAUGGAAGAUGUUCAUGCUCCCACUUCCUGACUCAAGAACCUCUGAUUGGGGGGCUGGCCCCGUCCUACACCCGACACUUUCCUGUCAGCAGAGGCGGCGCUGCACCCUCACUAUCGCUGUCUUUAUUUCCUCAUGAGCUGAGCUGCAACUUCCUGCUCCGUAUUGAAAUGAGGUUUUGGAUGUGACCUUGUUUGUUCAUUUCUUGCCAAGAAGGGAGCUUCGCACAGGGGACCAGCUUUGUGGGCUUAGCGAGGCCGAAGUCGGACCAGCUCCCGAGCAUCUUUCACCUGAGAAGGUCAAGGUCCUUUGCAGAGCUUCUGCCACAGGCCUCAGGUGCGUCCUGCAGGACCUUGGUCAGCAGUGGCUGUCAUCCAGGGAAAUAGGUGAUGGUUGGUGAUGGCACCGGUAGCAAGAAUUGCUGGCUCAUUACUGGUUCUUACAAGGACCAGUUCCCAGGGGUGCAGGGACCUCCGGUGCGUGGGAACGAGGGGGCAGACAGGAAAGGCGAUGGAGAGCAAGCUGAGUGGGCUUUGGGGGUCACAGCUGGGCAGGAGGAGGAUGGUCGCUGGAGUUCCCUCUCCUGCCCUGACAUGGAUGUUCUCCAGAUGUCUCUCUCCACUGACAGCCCUGAGGGUUUAGAGAACAUCCCAGAAAAAUGGCCUCCGCAGGGCAAGCGUUUCUGUCCCCAUGAGCCCAUCGUCCUGGCUGGGAGCGAGGAGGGUCUUGGGAAGGAUGAGCCCACAGGGGGAGCAGCCAAUUGCAGCAGGAGCAGUGAAAGCAGAAGAAGGGGAGAGAUGGCCACAGGACUGGCGCUUAGGGGACACGGAGUGCUCAGCGAAGACCAAAGAUGGAGGGAGGGAGGUUUGGAAAUGGCCACGGGAGCUGCUCUGCAAGCCAGACACGGGAAGAAGAAAUCGGGGUGCCUGUGUGGUGAGCCUGCUGCGAGCAGUUUGGAAGCGACGUGUAUUAAUCUUCCUGUAUGGCUCCGGGCCUUGUUCAUUUAUCUGUAAUUUACCAGAGAUGAAAAUCGGAAGUCACCUUGGUACCAGUGCUUAGCAGCCAACCAUGGUCAUGAAGGAUCCAGCCCACCUGGCCCGCCGGGUCCUCUGCCACCCACCGCUCUCCCAGCCUCCUCUGCGCUCCCGCCUGGCAUGUCAGGCGCGGAUUCGAGGAAUUCCUUCCCUUCCUGCUUCUUUCUAGAAGGAGAAAUGGUAGUUUUUGUGAGUGGGGCUGUAACUACUUCAUCACUCACGUGCUUGCCUGGCAUCUGUCAGCUGCCAGGGACUCUGGGAGCUGCCCCUUCAGGGCUGAACUCCUGAGCAGGUUUCCUGGUCGGGCCCCUGGAGGGGUUCCCAAAGUGCUUAGCAGAGAGGCCCAGGUCCUGCAGCUGUGGCCAGUACAGUUCUGUGCUUCAGGGUAGUUACUCUAUAAUCACUGUGUAAAGAGCGCCACCUAAUGUGUGUCACCAAAACAAUAUAUCUACCCAACUAGACGUCGUAUCCUAUAUAAUAAAAGGCUAAUUUGCAAAUCGA